CUCUAGGUUGUUGUUGCUCCUCUUCACGACUGUAUGUUUUGGUUUUAGUGAUCAGCGCUGAGCGCGUGUGUCGAAAUAUUGUAGGAAUUUUGACAGAAUUGAAAAAUGGCAGAGGCUAUGAGGCAAACGGUGGGAGAUAUGUUAAAGGGCGUUGACAGGUACAACCCAGAAAAUCUUCCUACUCUGGAGAGAUACGUAGAAAUUCAGUCUCGUGAAAAUGCCUACGACCUGGAGGCGAAUCUGGCAGUCUUGAAAUUGUAUCAGCUGAAUCCAUUUAUGUACAAUCCAGAUAUCACUUGCCAAAUUCUAUUGAAGGCACUAACUAAUUUCCCUCAUACAGAUUUUAUCCUUUGCAAGUGCCUCCUCAAUAGUAAACAGCUUAUGCAGAGUCCACUGAGUGAGAUAAUGCGUCUAGCAGAUAUACUGGAAUGCUGUGACUUUCAGCGCUUCUGGCAUCAAGUUUUGAAUGAGCCAGAAAUUACAUCUAGAAUUACAGGGUUUAAUGACUCCAUAAGAAAAUUUGUUUGCCAUGUUGUUGGAAUUACAUUUCAAACAAUUGACAAGAAAAUGCUUUCUCAACUUCUUGGUGGUGUUGAUGAGACAACAUUGAUGCAAUGGGUUAAGAAAUAUGGCUGGAAAGAAGAAGAUAAAGACACAAUUUUCAUAGCCAAUCAAGAUGAAAACAUUAAAACCAAAAAUAUCACUGAGAAGAUUGAUUUUGAGAAUGCUGCUGCCAUAAUGGCUGCAUCUAGAUAGUGGCAGUUGUAGAUACAAAGGAAAGUAAAUCACCAGAAUCUGCCAAAUGUUUGUAGUAUUUAGCAAAUAAAAGUGUCUCAUCAACAGGUGCCUCCAGCCCCUUCUGAUUGGUGCCGUAAUCAUGGGUAUAUAAGCGGAAAAUCUUCCCAGCCCCUGCACACAGUAAUUUUACUCCUGAUGAUGGCAUAGGUAGCCAUCGAAAGCUCGAGAAUUUUAUUCAAAUUGACGCAGUUUGAAAACCGAGAAGAUUUUAUUUGAUUAUUCAUUUCGCCAAUUUUUUAUUAGAAACAAAAACAAAAAAUGAAAUGUGUUUGUUGUGUAAUAGACAAAAUUUCCUUUCCAUGUAUUUAUGAGAACAUCUCUGAAAUUGUGA